CCUACGGGAGGCAGCAGUAAGGAAUAUUGGACAAUGGACGCAAGUCUGAUCCAGCCAUGCCGCGCGAAGGAUUAAGGCCCUCUGGGUUGUAAACUUCUUUUAUAGGGGACGAAAAAGGGCUUUCUAGCUCGACUGACGGUACCCUAUGAAUAAGCACCGGCUAACUCCGCGCCAGCAGCCGCGGUAAUACGGAGGGUGCAAGCGUUAUCCGGAUUCACUGGGUUUAAAGGGUGCGUAGGCGGGCAGUUAAGUCAGUGGUGAAAUCUUCGAGCUCAACUCGGAAACUGCCAUUGAUACUAUCUGUCUUGAAUAUUGUGGAGGUGAGCGGAAUAUGUCAUGUAGCGGUGAAAUG
rnacentral:rRNA from 1 species